CUGCAGGUCUGAAAUGACGGUUUCUCCUGCACGUGUCUGGAACUCAACAGGACCGCGAUUUCAUGUUCUGCUUUUUCCCAGGGCAUCACAGAAAUCGCAUUGCCCUGGACACCGCCGCCGCCGCCACACUCCGGCCCGGUCGCUCCCGCGUCCCCGCGGAGGAAGCGGCCGGGCGGGAAGGCGCUUUGUGCUGCAGUUCCGGGCCCGCAGCGCCCAGAGAGGGAAGCGGCAGUCAGGGCCUCCUUAGAGCGCGGCCGGGCCUCGACCCCUUCCUCCUGCAGCCUGCGACCUCCCCACGUCGCCCGGCCCGCGUUUGCACUGCCACCCGAGCAACAGGCCUCGAGGCUCCCACCUUCUCCGGGCGGGCGGGCAGGCCGCCCUUCGCGUCCCCGGCCCACCCGGUUUGAGGGCUGUCUCUCCGAGCGCGUGGUUGCCGUACGGUCCUUACCUCACGUCAUUUGGAUCUCGCCCGCUGUACCAGGGAUCGACUCACGACUCACGACUGCCUGCUUGCAAGGUGAAAGGGUUUUGGCCCAGACAGGACACUGUAGCCAGGAAAACCUCAACCGGAAGCAGGAAGCCCUAUCUCCCCUGCCCCUAGGAAGUUACCUGUGAUGUCAUCUUCCCGCCCCUGGAAAUUUACAUAUGGCGCCAAAUGGGCUACCUGUGUAUCCCUAAUGCUCGCCUUAGGUUCCACCCCAAACCGAGGCUAUUUAGAGGCCCCCACGCCAUGUGUCCCCGGAGAGAUCGCAGGAUGCCUGCGGUGGGGGUGCCGGUCAUCUCUCUCCGUGUUCUCAGAAUAAAGGCCGCUUUUUAUUUUA